rnacentral:lncRNA from 1 species
CUGCCCUGCCCAGCCUGGACCCUUCUCGGAGACCUCGGGUCCCUGGAGUGGAGAACGCUGAGGGCCCUGCCCAGAGAGAGGCGCCCGAAGGGCAGGGCCAGGGACCACAGGCGGCCAGGGAACAUCGAAAAGCUGGCCAUGAGCGGAGGGGGCCGGCAGAGGGGGAAGAGGCGGUGCCUGCGGAACGGAGCCCAGAGUGCAGCACUGUGGAUGGUGGAUCCACGGUCCGCAGGCAGCGCUCACAGAGAGACCUCAUUCUAGAAUCCAAGCAGCAACACGAAGAGCCUGAUGGAGGCUUCCGGAAGGUGCAGCAUCCCCCCCAUGCUCCGCCCUACCCUGUUCUGGUUUUAGCUCAUGGCUACAUCUGGCCCCUUCUGAGUCUGCCUGUAUCCUCUGUUUUCCCAGCUGUACACGGAGCUCCGCAGGGAGAAUGAACGACUUCGUGAAGCCUUGACAGAGACCACCCUGCGUCUGGCACAGCUCAAGGUGGAGCUGGAGCGGGCCACACAGCGGCAGGAACGCUUUGCUGAGAGGCCUGCCCUCCUUGAACUGGAGAGAUUUGAGCGCAGAGCUCUUGAGCGAAAGGCAGCAGAGCUGGAGGAGGAGCUGAAGGCCCUGUCUGAUCUCCGGGCUGACAACCAACGGCUCAAGGAUGAGAAUGCAGCAUUGAUCCGAGUCAUUAGCAAGCUAUCCAAGUGACUCUGAAGGAGUUCCCGCACCAUAUUUAUACUGCU